rnacentral:rRNA from 1 species
AGUUUGAUCAUGGCUCAGAAUCAACGCUGGCGGCGUGCCUCAGACAUGCAAGUCGAACGCGAAAGUCCCCUUCGGGGGACAAGUAGAGUGGCGCACGGGUGAGUAACACGUAGGUAAUCUACCUUCGGAUGGGGAAUAACAAUCGGAAACGGUUGCUAAUACCGCAUAAUGCAGCGGCACCUAAUGGUGACAGUUGUUAAAGCGGGGGAUCGAAAGACCUCGCGUCUGAAGAGGAGCCUGCGGCGGAUUAGCUAGUUGGUAAGGUAAUGGCUUACCAAGGCUACGAUCCGUAACCGGCCUGAGAGGGCGGUCGGUCACACUGACACUGACAUACGGGUCAGACUCCUACGGGAGGCAGCAGUCGGGAAUUUUGGGCGAUGGGCGAAAGCCUGACCCAGCAACGCCGCGUGAAGGAUGAAAUCCCUCGGGAUGUAAACUUCGCAAGAACAGGAAGAAUAAGUAGGGGACAAUACCCCCUAUGAUGACGGUACUGUUUGUAAGCUCCGGCUAACUCCGUGCCAGCAGCCGCGGUAAUACGGGGGG